UGGCGGACGGGUGAGGAAUACAUCGGAAUCUACUCUGUCGUGGGGGAUAACGUAGGGAGACUUACGCUAAUACCGCAUACGACCUACGGGUGAAAGCAGGGGAUCUUCGGACCUUGCGCGAUUGAAUGAGCCGAUGUCGGAUUAGCUAGUUGGCGGGGUAAAGGCCCACCAAGGCGACGAUCCGUAGCUGGUCUGAGAGGAUGAUCAGCCACACUGGAACUGAGAAACGGUCCAGACUCCUACGGGAGGCAGCAGGC
rnacentral:rRNA from 1 species